rnacentral:misc_RNA from 1 species
GAUGAAGAACGCAUCGAAAUGCGAUAAGUAAUGUGAAUUGCAGAAUUCAGUGAAUCAUCGAAUCUUUGAACGCACAUUGCGCCCCCUGGAAUUCCGGGGGGCAUGCCUGUUCGAGCGUCUCAGGGACGAACCCUCGCGCGGGUGUACGCGCGGUCGUGGCUGCGGUGGCGUGCCCGAGGCGGCGGCCACCGCGCUGGAAUCCAUGGGCGGACGCCUGCCGCGUGGCCGAGCGUGAUAUGACGCAUUGGCGCUCGCACGCGGCGAGGCUGCCAGCCCUGGCCCGUCUGUCGGGCGGGGGAGAGCAAGACACGUGAACUCCUCGAAUCAGGUAGGGAUACCCGCUGAACUUAAGCAUAUCAAUAAGCGGAGGA